rnacentral:rRNA from 1 species
CCCUUAGAUGUCCGGGGCCGCACGCGCGCUACACUGAAGGAAUCAGCGUGGAUUCCUCCCUGGCCCGAAAGGGCUGGGAAACCCGUUGAAUCUCCUUCGUGCUAGGGAUUGGGGCUUGUAAUUGUUCCCCAUGAACGAGGAAUUCCCAGUAAGCGCGAGUCAUAAGCUCGCGUUGAUUACGUCCCUGCCCUUUGUACACACCGCCCGUCGCUACUAUCGAUUGAGCGGUUCAGUGAGGGCCUCGGAUUGGUCUCGGUCUGGCGUGCAAGCGCCGGCACCGAUGGUCGAGAAGACGCUCGAACUUGAUCGUUUAGAGGAAGUAAAAGUCGUAACA